UGAUAGAGAAGUCUCAGGCGGGAAUUCAGCAGUUUUGGCCAAAAGAGUGAGUCUGCCAGCCGCUGUAAAUAAGCAUGGUGAGAGCAGGGAGAGAGCAGUAGAAGACGGUAGACCAGAGGCUGGUCAACAGCAGGACACCUCCAGUCCCUUCAUCAGCCACAAACUGGGACAGGACACUCUCUGUUACGGACCAGAGUGAAGUUGGUGAAGUUAGUGACUUAACCCCCCAUUCUGCUGAGCCACCAGAGUCACCAAUCAGUGCUGAUCCUGCAGGAUCUGAUGACAUUUCCCAGUCAAGAGCAGGGGGUCCUGUGCAGCCUGUCCUUAAGGUUUUCCCCAAGACACAACAUGGCAACCGCAAGAGGGCAUUCAAUGAAUGAGUCGUGGUACAGAGACUACACAUGGCUGGAGUACUCCAUCAGUAGAGACUCUGUAUUUUGUUAUGCCAGCCGCCAUUUUUCCUUCCAAAUGCCCCGUCCUCUGUAUUCAGAACAGAAACUGGCUUCUCCAACUGGAAGAAAGCUUUGUGUAAAGAAGGUGGAUUUAAAGACCACUCCAAAUGAGUCAUCUUGGGGUGCACUGAGUCCCGACGAGCAAAAGCAUUAGACAUGAAUGAAUUUGUGAGAUGGUUCAGUUCCCGUCAUAAAAAAAUGAAGAAUAAUGCUGUUUUAGAAGAGCAAAAUGUACAGUAGUCACCCACAUGGAACUUUCUGUAUGUUUGUGAGAGAGAGAUAUUUUGAACUGACAGUAUUUGUGAAAAAGUAAAAAGGUUUUAAAAAAUUAAUAAAAUGCUGGAUUUUCUCACAUG
rnacentral:lncRNA from 1 species